ACCUGGCUGGCUCAGUCGGUAGAGCAUGGGACUCUUGAUCUUGGGAUCGUGAGUUCAAGCCCCAUGUUGGGGU
rnacentral:tRNA from 1 species